rnacentral:rRNA from 1 species
UACGAAGGGUGCAAGCGUUACUCGGAAGUACUGGGCGGAAAGCGUGCGUAGGUGGUUCGUUAAGUCUGAUGUGAAAGCCCUGGGCUCAACCUGGGAAUUGCAUUGGAUACUGGCGGGCUAGAGUACGGUAGAGGGUAGUGGAAUUCCUGGUGUAGCAGUGAAAUGCGUAGAUAUGCGGAGGCCCACCGAUGGCGAAGGCAAUCCCCUGGGCCUGCACUGACGCUCAUGCACGAAAGCGUGGGGAGCAAACAGG